GUGAACGUGCACCUGAAAGAGCUCCCAGAUUAGAAGAUAAAUAAUAACGAAAUACUUUUGAAAAGUCAAUACUUUACAUCUAGUUAUAUCCAUAAGAUAUUAGUCUACCUCAAACUCAACUUUGAAUACGAAAGAAAAGUGAUUCUGUCGAGUUUACAGCAAAUUGGAACUCCGAUUGGUUUUUUUGAACGACCAGAUCAGAUUUGGAUCCCAGAUGGCGAGCCCAGCCCAGUGAGACUGAGAACGAUCGUGGAAGCGGUGUGGCCAACCGUACGAUUUGUCUCAGAGAAACCCAAGAUUUGUUCAUUCGUUCAUCGAACACCAGAUAAGAUUUUCCACACUGUUGACUCAACACAGUAGUCAUAUCUGCACACAUUCAAGGAACUGAACUUUGUGAAUCGAUACACACACACGUUCAAGGAACUGAACUUUAGGAAUCAAUACACUUUUCAUACAGGAACUGAUAUACACUUUUCAUACAGGAAUUGAACUCUCUUGAAUCAGUGCAUACAGGAAUAAGGGGCUUGAAUUCUAAGUUUCCUUUGAUUUUCAUAUUUUAUUUGUUUGAAGAGCUCUUCGUUAUCAUUUCAUUUAUAUUUUGCCCAUUCAAUGCUGUGUAACCACACUGCUGUUUUGGAGGCAAUAUAACGGUCAAUUGUUCAACUUA